rnacentral:RNase_P_RNA from 1 species
AAAGCAAGUCGGCUUAUCGCUAUUUAUUAGAGGAAAGUCCGGGCAACAAAGAGCAUCAUGCUUCCUAACGGGAAGAUGUUCGUGAGGGCAUAUUAGUGUAACAGAAAACAACCGCCGUUUACGGUAAGGGUGAAAAGGCGAGGUAAGAGCUCACCAAUAGCUUAGGCAACUAAGUUAGUUGUACGCAUCAUGUGUUGCAAGACCAAAUACAUCUCAAAGGGUUUCCACGAGGUUGCUCGCCUUGUUUCCAGAAAUGGUUUUUGAGAGGGGUAGGUUGCUUGAGUUUGUAAGUGAUUACAGACCUAGAUAAAUGAUAAGCACCUUUGAAAAGAGGUACAGAACCCGGCUUAUAGACUUGCUUUUACU